rfam:Schistosoma curassoni strain Dakar, Senegal genome assembly, scaffold: SCTD_contig0000241
UCACUCCUGAGGAGUCCCACAAUAGAACGAAACGACCGUCGAGUGC